rnacentral:rRNA from 1 species
UGGGGAAUUUUGGACAAUGGGGGAAACCCUGAUUCAGCCAUCCCGCGUGUGCGAUGAAGGCCUUCGGGUUGUAAAGCACUUUUGGCAGGAAAGAAACGUCAUGGGUUAAUACCCCGUGAAACUGACGGUACCUGCAGAAUAAGCACCGGCUAACUACGUGCCAGCAGCCGCGGUAAUACGUAGGGUGCAAGCGUUAAUCGGAAUUACUGGGCGUAAAGCGUGCGCAGGCGGUUCGGAAAGAAAGAUGUGAAAUCCCAGAGCUCAACUUAGGAACUGCAUUUUUAACUACCGGGCUAGAGUGUGUCGGAGGGAGGUGGAAUUGCGCGUGUAGCAGUGAAAUGCGUAGAUAUGCGGAGAAACACCGAUGACGAAGGCAGCCUCCUGGGAUAACACUGACGCUCAUGCACGAAAGCGUGGGGAGCAAACAGG